AUUGAACGCUGGCGGCAGGCCUAACACAUGCAAGUCGAACGGUAACAGGAAGAAGCUUGCUUCUUUGCUGACGAGUGGCGGACGGGUGAGUAAUGUCUGGGAAACUGCCUGAUGGAGGGGGAUAACUACUGGAAACGGUAGCUAAUACCGCAUAACGUCGCAAGACCAAAAAGGGGGACCUUCGGGCCUCUUGCCAUCGGAUGUGCCCAGAUGGGAUUAGCUAGUUGGUGGGGUAACGGCUCACCAAGGGGACGAUCCCUAGCUGGUCUGAGAGGAUGAGCAGCCACAGUGGAACUGAGACACGGUCCAGACUCCUACGGGAGGCAGCAGUGGGGAAUAUUGGACAAGGGGCGGAAGCCUGAUCCAGCCAUGCCGCGGGGGUGAAGAAGGCCUUCGGGUUGUAAAGCCCUUUUGUUGGGAAAGAAAAGCAGCAGGUUAAUACCCCGCUGUUAUGACGGUACCCAAAGAAUAAGCACCGGCUAACUUCGUG
rnacentral:rRNA from 1 species